GAUGAACGCUGGCGGCGUGCCUAAUACAUGCAAGUCGAGCGAACCUCUUCGGAGGUUAGCGGCGGACGGGUGAGUAACACGUGGGCAACCUACCUUGUAGAUGGGGAUAACAUCGAGAAAUCGGUGCUAAUACCGAAUAACACUUUUCUCCACAUGGAGAAAAGUUAAAAGUUGGCUUUUGCUAACACUACAAGAUGGGCCGCGGGCGCAUUAGCUAGUUGGUGAGGUAACGGCUCACCAAGGCGACGAUGCGUAGCCGACCUGAGAGGGUGAUCGGCCACACUGGGACUGAGACACGGCCCAGACUCCUACGGGAGGCAGCAGUAGGGAAUCUUCCGCAAUGGACGAAAGUCUGACGGAGCAACGCCGCGUGAGUGAUGAAGGCCUUCGGGUCGUAAAACUCUGUUGUUAGGGAAGAACAAGUACCGUUCGAAUAGGGCGGUACCGUGACGGUACCUAACCAGAAAGCCACGGCUAACUACGUGCCAGCAGCCGCGGUAA
rnacentral:rRNA from 1 species